UUUCCUGUUGAGUGUUGACUAGUGUUUGUGCCCACCUCAGGUUAAGCUAGAUUCUUUGUUUUUUGGAUAUCUGGAAUUUUGGAUGGGUAUGUGUGUUAACCGAUUUUGGUUGGUUUAUCUGAUAAACCCUAUCAACUUAAACUGUACUGCACGUUGUUUGUCUGAGCUAUUACAAAAUUGUUUGAGAGUUUGAGGAUAGCAUAGCAUAAUUUUGAUUCCUUCACAUCCUAAGAUUUUGAUUCUCCUAGAUAAAUCUUCAUUAUUUCGGAGAUUCUUGUUAAUUUUUUUCUUUUGAAUUACGUGGU
rnacentral:lncRNA from 1 species